rnacentral:rRNA from 1 species
CAAUAGCGUAUAUUUAAGUUGCUGCAGUUAAAAAGCUCGUAGUUGGAUUUCGGGUGGGAAUGGCCGGUCCGCCGUUUCGGUGUGCACUUGCUACGCCCACCUUGCUGCCGGGGACGUGCUCUUGAGUUCACGCUCGGGACACGGAGUCGGCGAGGUUACUUUGAGUAAAUUAUAGUGUUCAAAGCAGGCCUACGCUCUGAAUACAUUAGCAUGGAAUAACACGAUAGGACUCUGGCCUAUCUUGUUGGUCUGUAGGACCGGAGUAAUGAUUAAGAGGGACAGUCGGGGGCAUUCGUAUUUCAUUGUCAGAGGUGAAAUUCUUGGAUUUAUGAAAGACGAACUACUGCGAAAGCAUUUGCCAAGGAUGUUUUCAUUAA